UAUUCUCAACUCCAGCAGCUUUUUUGCUCUUGGAGCUUGGAUGUGGAGGCUUUGCUGGCCCUUGGUCAGCUCCUCUGAAAUAUAUUAGCGGAACCGUUUGCGAUCCGUCACAGGUGUGAUAAUUAUCUACGCCAGUGGGUUGCUCUCUGUCUGUUCAGCUCAUAAUUGUCCUGUAACAUGGACAAACUUAUAAUGAAC
rnacentral:misc_RNA from 1 species